rnacentral:lncRNA from 1 species
AGGAGUUCCAGAAGGAGGGGACAAAGGCAAUGGGAAAAGGUAAUAUUUGAAGAGAUAAUGACUGAGAAUUUUCCAGCCUUUCAUGGUAUCUUUCAUGAUGCCAAUUCACAGAUUACAGAUCCCCAACGAGUCUCAAGCCAGGUAAAUAAAACAAACAAACAAACAAGAAAAUCCUUACUUAGAACCAACCCACUGUAGUGAAACAGCAGAAAAACAAUGACAAAAAAAGUCUUAGUACAGAAAAAAAAGACAGAUUAUCUUCAAAGGGUUGAUAAUGGGGCCAAGCAAAGGCCUAGAUAGCUUCACUGGCAGCUCUACUAAACAUUUAUGAAAGAAAUCAGGUCUCUCACCAAUUCUUCCAGAGGAUCUUGAGCCUAGGUGUCCACCUUAGCCCUCACUCAUGAUGAAAACUCUAUUCAUGUUUGUAUGGGAGAUUUUGGCAGUACAGUAAGGUGAGAAGGAAACAUAAAAGUAUAAUGACCGGAAAGAAGAAAGAAAACCAUAAUUUACAUCAUAUGACUGUGUCUUUUUCUUUAUCUGUGUGUUAGAUUUUACACUAAAAAUGUUUUAACAGCCUUAUGUUUUCAUAACCUUUUAUGGUUUUUCAAGGCACUCUUACAAUAAUGAUUUUAUUUGAUUGUCACAAUUCUUUGAGUAAAACUAAAGUUCAAAUAAGUGGAAUCACAAAGCUGGCCAGUGGGAGAAUCUGCACCAGAACCCAGUUUGCUGAAUAUACCUGGAACAUCUGGUCUUUCAUUCAUUAAAUUCAGCAUUCCAGCAGAAAAUGGUAUUGGAAUGUGCAAAGAUUCACACAACAAGCCAGGACAGCUGCAUCUGAGACCAGUUCUAUUUUGAAAUCAAAAACCCAUGCAAAUAAACAACAGCAACACGAAGAAGAAGUGAAUUAAUGACAGCUUACUGGAGAUGACUCAAAAAGAGAAAAAUUUCAAUUGCAGUUUCCAGCCUUCUCUCAAGGAUUAAAAGAGGCAGGUUGCUAAUCAUCCUGAAUGAGAUGGUAGAUUUAUGUAAAACAAAUUCAUACUAUAUAACAAAAAAGAAAAAAAUUUCAGAACAUUUUAUACUCAGUGAUUUUUGUGUGUUUCUUUUUUUUUGAGAAGGAGUGUCGCUCUUGUUACCCAGACUGGAGUGCAAUGGCACGAUCUCGGCUCACUGCAACCUCCACCUCCUGGGUUCAAGCAGUUCUCCUGCCUCAGCCUCCCGAGUGGCUGGGACUACAGGCAUGUGCCACCAUGCCCAGCUAAUUUUUUGUAUUUUUAGUAGAGACGGGGUUUCACCAUGUUGACCAGGAUGGUCUUGAUCUCUUGACCUCGUGAUCCAACUGCCUCGGCCUCC